AAGAACAAAACCAAAAGCAGUCAGAAACACAAAAUAAAAUCAGCCCAAGGUAAAAUCAGCCCAAACCAUCAAAGACUCAGCAGACGAAUAGACGGGGAAGCUCUAAGACCUUGCGUCCUAGCUGUAAUCCAACAAAUAUCCCCCUUUUGAAAGUAACGACACCGCCUAGGAAAUAACACAUGUUCAUAAUUAUCAUCCGUCACUUUCAUCCAUCAGCAGCAGUCUGAAUUCACCUACUCUCUGGAAACACGCUUCCCUUCUUGAAAAUUCCAAACGUUAGCUUUCUUCAAAAGCACUUCCUAUUUAUUCUUCAACAAUCUGGCCCCUCAUCUCUCUCAAGUGCUCCGUCCACAUCUGCUCCUCAUCCGCCAUGGCCUCGGCCCCAAAAGGAACCCUAUUCAUCAGAUAAGUAGUGUCUCCCUUUUUGAGUCAUUCAGUCGCGAUAAUAGAAAUUUUUGAACUUAGGUGAACACUUAAUAAUAGUUGGGUCACUAUAUAUACAUUUUAUCCAAUAAUUUUUACGGCAACUUCCAAAUUUAGUGGGCAUUAAUUUGUGUUUUGGUCUAAACUUUAAAAGUUAUGAUAUGGUCACUAAUGUUAUCAAUUUGUUAUAUUUUGGUCAUUAAGUUGUUAACCAUCAUUAACAGUGUAACAAUGAGUUGACGUGACAUGUUAUAUCAACACUUUAGAUGAAAAUUUUAAGUCAAAUUGCUCAGUAACCAAAAUAGAACAAAUCGAUAAUGUGUGUGAUGAUAUUAUAACUUUCUAAAGGCAUAUUAAAUUUAAGGGAAGGAGAUAAACGUUUGGUUAAAUUAUGUUAUUAGUACUUGUACUUUACGAAAGUUGUGGAUUUAGUCCCUAUGCUUUAAUUUGAUUAAUUUUAGUUCUUAUACUUUUUGAAUUGGUCAAUUUUAGUCCCUAUAAUUUUCAAAAUUUGAAAUUCCAAUCUUGACCCAAACAAUAACAGUUAAAUUUAUUUGGUUAAAUUCAAUUACUAGUCCCAUUUUAUGUGUAAUGACCCGAUUUUAGCCGGUGUUGAAAAAUAUGGUUUCAAAACCCAAUUCUAUAAAUUGAGUUUGUGAGAUUAUAAAUAGAGGGAUUUACGUAUUUAGUAUGAAAAUAUUUAGAGGGCGGUCAAGUAAUUAGAUUGAGAAAAUCACCAAUUAUAGUACAAAGACUAAAUUGUAAAAGUAUAAUCGCUAUUAAGUUUUAAUUUAAAAAAUGCUUGAGGACUUAAUAAGUAAUUAAUAUAAGGGCUUUGGAUUAAAUAAACCAUUAAUAAUGCAUGUUAAUAUCUAGUUAAUUAGUAAGCCAUCAUAUUCCUUUAACUAACAAUUAAGGUAUUCAUUAAUCUAUAACUUAUUAGAUUAAUUAAACUAAUUAAUCUACUAAUUAUAAGUAUAAAAUUACUGAGAUUUUUUAAAUUAAUUUUUCAAGAAAAUUUUGUAAUUAAAUUCUAUAAUUGAAUAAUUCACACGACUGGCUAAUUUAAUUCUACAUCGAAUAAAUCGAUUCAAUUAAAUUAUUUCCAAAGUCAUAGAAUUUUCUUCUGAUUCAAAUAUAGUCCGAUCAAGCUUUUGUGGAGUUAGCGAAUGGAUCAACCAGACAUAUAUAAUUAGGCUCGAGCAAUUGCAAUUAUAUUCAGAAGCAUCGUUCCAAUAAUUCACAAUUUACUUAAUCAUAGUGUCAAUCCACAAUAAAUACCAUUAUUGAAAACUCCUUAUUGUAUACUCUUUACGAAAGCAAUUCAUCCAACUGUUUUGUCGAAUGACCUCGUCAUGUGUGUGUUACCUUCAUAUGAUAUCUUUGAUUCCUUUUACUUAAAUUCGACCAUUUAAUACAAUCCUAUUUUAUCUCAUUAUCACUAUUGAUAUCUUCUUAAUGAUUAAUAUGAUCAUUGUCAACUAAUGACUGUGAUAAAUUACUCGUUCGAAAACAAGCAAACCCAUGGCUACAUUCCAUAUUUAUCAAUCCGCAUAAUGGCAAUGAGAGAAUAUCGUUAACUCUUUAAUUGAGUUAUGAAUUAUAUUGUUGCUAGUAAAGUCAUGUCAUACACAAGUCAUGAACUCAACAUACUGGCUAUCGGCUUGAUCAUCUUUAGAGUAUAAGCCUUUACUUAUAUAAAAGCACAUGAGUUAUAUACGUAUGGUCAACGACAGACUCAGGAUUUAGGUAAGUCACCACAUGAACGUUACAAGUGAAUUAAUUCACAAAUGAAUUAAAAACUAAUUCAACUUAGGUCCAAUCCAAUUAUCACUCUUCCAAUGAGUACAUCUAUAUUUUUACCCGUGGAGUCAACCGCUCCCAUAGCCAAGACUAGCCAUCUCCCUAAUAAGAAUUGUAGACGAUAUAAUAAUCCUUCUAUGUAUUUGAAUCAAAUGCUCACUUUGAUUAUUUUACGGGAUUGUUGACUCGUUUAGAUUAUCUACUGAAGUAAGUUUUCUUUCUCGCAAUGUAAACGUUCUUACAGUGCCACUUAUCAUCAGCUUGAACUCAGACAAUCAAUGAGUUAACAUUUGAUUGUCACAAUUUCGCUAUGUAUUCAAAACAUGAAAGACAAAAACACAAAAGAUAUAACAGUGAAAUGUGAAAUUAACUUUAUUUAUUCAUCGUUCAAAUAUAUAGAAAACAGUUACAUGUUUAUUACAAUAUGGAUACAUUUCCCAACAUGUGAUUGAUAUGGUUAUGCUAAAUGAAUGCAAAUAUUAAUAGGUAGCUUAUGAUUACAUGUAUGAAGGCACAAUCAUAAGACAUGAGACAAGAAUGAUUAUUGUAUUCUAGAUAGUUAUAAUUUACAUGAUAGAUGUGUACGAUAUUUAAGUUAUGUUUGAUCCAUUUUGUUAUCAAAUCAUGUUAGCACCAAUGAGCCCUAUUGCUUAGCAUACAAUUUUUUUUUUUAUCUUCGUGCACAAGUAUCAUUAGAUCUCGAGGAUUUGAGGAGUAUGAAAACAUCUAAAAUUCAACUCUCGACUCGGGAAAGUUUGUAUAGAUUUUAUUAUGUUUAUAGCAAGUGGCAUUUACCUAUGGUCUUGAGUUGGUUUUUGGGUCCAUUUUGGAUGUUUUGGUUCAAAUGGUAGGAAAUAUUAACAUUUUGAAUAUGGACAUAUAUGUUAGAUGGCAUGGAUAUGUAGUAACCUAGUGAGUUAAUGAUUUGCUUGUCAAUUAGUCAUGUUAUACUUGUUAUUUCUUGCAUGCCAAGUAAAUAAAUAUGAUGCAUGAUUUCAAAAUGAAUUUGAAUAUGUAUGUGAUCUUAAGUUAAAAGAUGUCUAAAUAUGCCAAGGAUGAUAGUUUAGUAUUUGAAUUAAUGCUUAAAAUGAGAUGUGUUGAGUUUUUGGGUCAUUUAGACCAUUUGGAAUUGGUGCUUGGCAUGAUUGAAGAAAAUGAUUAAAAAAAUUUAGGGAAUUGCCUUCAAUAUCAUGAUAUUCCCCUGUUGAAUUCGCAGCAUUAAACUCUUCCUUUAAUAUCGUGACAUUGCUCUGUUGAAGUCGCGGCAUUGAGUUGUUAUUUCAUGGUCGCGACUUCAAGCUUCUACCCUCAAUAUCGUGACACUCAUUCUUCGAUGUCGCAACAACACCUCUAUUUUAAUUGUUUUUAUGUUUUAGUCCCUCUUAGGCUACUGAAGUUUCAUGAGAGCUUUUAUUAUAAGCCCACUUAUAACCCGAGUUUGAAUAAAUAAUGUUUUUAGAAGUUUUAAAAGUUGUGUUUGUAUGAUUUGCCUCAUUGGAUAUUAAGAUGAAAUUGUAGUUGUUUCAGUAACGAAUGUGAUAUUUCACAUCUCAGAUCCAGCAAUCAGAUCGGGUGUGGGGUGUGACAUUAUACGUACAGUUGUAAAUUUACUUUAUAUUCUCCAAUUAGAUCAUUCUAAGUUCCU
rnacentral:lncRNA from 1 species